rnacentral:rRNA from 1 species
UACGGGGGGGGUAAGCGUUGUUCGGAAUUACUGGGCGUAAAGGGCUCGUAGGCGGCCAACUAAGUCAUACGUGAAAUCCCUCAGCUUAACUGGGGAACUGCGUGUGAUACUGGAUGGCUUGGAUUUGGGAGAGGGAUGCGGAAUUCCAGGUGUAGCGGUGAAAUGCGUAGAUAUCUGGAGGAACACCGGUGGCGAAGGCGGAUCUCUGGGCCUUACCUGACGCUCAGGUGCGAAAGCUAGGGGAGCGAACAGG